UAUAGCAUCUGGAAUCUUUUUUGAGUAAAUUGUAGUCUGUUAUACACAACCAUGUCUCUGUAUAUAAAUGUAUCUUCCUUUUUGUUUCCUUCCUACUUAUACAUAAUAUAAUAUGCAGGGCAGGGCAGACAACAUGUGUCGUCAACCGUCGACAAUUCAGCUGUCUCCAAAUGAGCAGCUUGCUGCUGAAGAAACCUUCAAGUUGCACUGCAAGCCAGUUGAGCUCUGCAUUGUUAUCCAAAAACGAGUCAUUGAUAAUGGAUGUUAUUUGUUUCUGUGAACACAUUUGAUGUAGACCCAAAACCUACUACUAAAUGGUUCCAAUAAAUAAUGCAUAUGGCCGUAGAACUCUUGAUCAACAUUCUGUGAGCAGACUAAGAAGUGACCUAAUACUGGUAAAGAAAAGACAUGGUAUUCAAACUAUUCUGGUUUCUCUAUUAAAUCGAAGAUGACAACGACAUCGACGAAGGGAUGAGGCGGCAAUAGUUGCAUUCUCUGUAUAUGAACAUGAAGACCUAGAAGGUCGUCUCCUGGAAAGGGAUGCUUCAUUUACAAGACCGGCUCUCCCCAACAACACUGUUGUGAUGUACUGAAGCCUCCCGUUCCACAUGUUGGGUACUUACACCUCAACGUCACUUCUAUGAGUUGUGGCCUAGAUCAGCAUGUGUAUGUGCCACAGCUUGUGGGAGGGACAAAAUGGGAGGUCGCCUUGAAAUUGUGGAAGUGCAAGGGAGGCCGGAAGAGUGCAUUGCUACACUGCUGCCAUGUUUCUCCUUAUUGCUGCCGACUCACCUUCGUGUAGCGCUAUUUCCAUAGGGAACCAGCAACAACCACAUUAUGAAAGGGUCAAGGAGUACUGAUCCGAUAUGCAUCAAUGACAAUGAAGCCGGCAAAGCGACGAGUUCACCUGGCCCUCAGCAGCGGCAGCGACGAGCUCGCCUAGCGCUCCUACUGCGUCGCUGGUGCGACCUCCUUGCUAGAUCCCGGCCAUGGAGUGUAGCAGCCUCGGCGCAGCGACUGAGUUGCUCCUAAAUGCGCGGAGCAGUGCCGCUUAGCCGGCGAAGUGGCCGGUAGCAGGAAGUCCGCCGUUGUAAAUAGUUGUACAAAAUGGUCAUGUGUUCCUAUCUCUCUGUCAUAAAAAAUGGUCAUGUGUUCUAUCUCUCAUCGUAUGAAAGCACCGAGCUUGAUUCUGUCUUAUAAUGUGAUUGUCAUCUUCAGUUCCAUUAUGUUAUGCUUCUAACACAAA